rnacentral:rRNA from 1 species
UACUAGAGUAGCACUCGCAUAUCAAUAAGCGGAGGAAAAGAAACUAACAAGGAUUCCCCUAGUAACGGCGAGUGAAGCGGGAAGAGCUCAAAUUUGAAAUCUUAAAGGGUUUCCCUUUACGAAUUGUAGUUUAAAGAAGUGUUUUCUGUUGAGGUUUUGGUAAAAGUUCUUUGGAAUAGGACAUCAUAGAGGGUGAGAAUCCCGUAUUUGACCUUUACUUUCAACUUUGUGAUACACUUUCAAAGAGUCGGAUUGUUUGGGAAUGCAGUCCAAAAUGGGUGGUAAAUUUCAUCUAAAGCUAAAUAUUGGCGAGAGACCGAUAGCGAACAAGUACCGUGAGGGAAAGAUGAAAAGAACUUUGAAAAGAGAGUUAAACAGUACGUGAAAUUGUCAAAAGGGAAGCGUUUCGACACCAGUGCUGUUUUUCUGAAAAUCAAUUAAAGAACUGUUUAUGCUAAGUUGUUUAGACUUUAUCAGCUAUCUGUUUAGUUUUGAGCUUUUCUUUAAUGCACUUUUCAGUUAACAAGUCAACAUCAAUUUCUUUUGCUGUAAAAAAGCUUGAGGAAGGUGGCUUGAGAUUCGUCUUAAGUGUUUAUAGCCUCUUGCCUAUGCAGUCGGAGAGAUUGAGGUCUGCAGCGUAGAUCCUUCGGGGCUAAAUGCAUUUGUGCUAAGUUAUAGCAUUUUAUAGACAACUUGUUGACUAUGAUUUGUCUUGUAGCUUACUCGCUUAUGUUAUUUUACCUACGCUUAGGAUGUUGAGUAGCGACAUACGCAC